rnacentral:rRNA from 1 species
GAAUUUUGCGCAAUGGGCUAACGCCUGACGCAGCAACGCCGCGUGGAGGAUGAAGGCCUUAGGGUUGUAAAGCUCUUUUACCAGGGAUGAUAAUGACAGUACCUGGAGAAUAAGCUCCGGCUAACUCCGUGUCAGCAGCCGCGGUAAUACGGAGGGAGCUAGCGUUGUUCGGAAUUACUGGGCGUAAAGCGCGCGUAGGCGGCUUAUCAAGGCAGAGGUGAAAGCCCGGGGCUCAACCCCGGAACUGCCUUUGAAACUAGUAGGCUAGAAUCUUGGAGAGGUCAGUGGAAUUCCGAGUGUAGAGGUGAAAUUCGUAGAUAUUCGGAAGAACACCAGUGGCGAAGGCGACUGACUGGACAAGUAUUGACGCUGAGGUGCGAAAGCGUGGGGAGCAAA